rnacentral:rRNA from 1 species
UACGUAGGGUCCGAGCGUUGUCCGGAAUUAUUGGGCGUAAAGAGCUCGUAGGCGGCUUGUCGCGUCGACUGUGAAAACCCGCGGCUUAACUGCGGGACUGCAGUCGAUACGGGCAGACUAGAGUGAUGUAGGGGAGACUGGAAUUCCUGGUGUAGCGGUGAAAUGCGCAGAUAUCAGGAGGAACACCGAUGGCGAAGGCAAUCCCCUGGACCUGUACUGACGCUCAUGCACGAAAGCGUGGGGAGCAAACAGG